GUGCUCUCUUUGGCAGCACAUGUACUACAAUUGGAACAAUACAGAGAAGAUUAGCAUGGCCCCUGCACAAGGAUGGCAUACAAAUUUGUGAAGCAUUCCAUAUAUUU